AACGCACCUUGCGCCCUUUGGCCAUUCCGAAGGGCAUGCCUGUUUGAGUAUCAUGAACACCUCAACUCUUCAUGGUUUUCCAUGAUGAGCUUGGACUCUGGGGGUCUUGCUGGCCUGUGGUCGGCUCCUCUCAAAUGAAUCAGCUUGCCGGUGUUUGGUGGGCAUCACAGGUGUGAUAACUAUCUACGCUUGUGGUUUUCCACCAGGGUAACCUUCAGCAGUGGAGGUUCACUGGAGCUCACAAAUGUCUCUCCUCAGUGGGGACAGCCCUUUAAAUGUUUGAUCUCAAAUCAGGUAGGACUACCCGCUGAACUUAA
rnacentral:misc_RNA from 1 species